AACGCUCUCGCAGAGCAGUUAUCUCCCAAACAUAGUCUUUGAACAAGUAAAUCACCUACUGGUGGUCAAUGCAGGCGCUGGGUCACAGAAUGCACGGACUGGAGCUUUGAACAAAUUAGUUGCAGGAGUUGAAGCACUGGUGUUUGCAGCGUUUGGUGCAGACGCAGGCUCAGGGCCGAGUUUUCCGCGCUUCGUUGCGUACUAAGAACAGUAAACGCGUUGUACGCAUGUAUUCCGAAACUAGAGCACUCCGGACUAUUUGGUUUGCACCCUGUGAAGAUAACUUGUUGUGAGUGAGCAAUAUGCCCACGAGUUAGCAUAUACAAUAUUUUCGAUUCUUCAAGUUUUCACCGGCGAAUACCAAGCGCGGUAGCUGCACCGGUUCGCUCCCAGGCCGAAUAGACUAGUCCGCGUCUGUUAGUUGUAUGGAGCAGAACCUGAAACGAACCGGAUUUCUCCCGAAUCCACAGAAAAUCCUACGUAUCAAUUCAUGAACCCCAUGUCGAGUGCUGUCUACUAUUGAACUGCGCAACUGAGCUGGCACUGCCGGUAUCGUUGGGCGGCUCACGCCACAGCGCCAGCAGACACCAGUCUCGCACAGGACGCUUGUUGCAGGGCAAAUAUGCAGAAGGCUAGCACCCGUGCUCCGGUGCUGUGUGGGAAGCUCAGUCGCGUCGGCUUAUGCGUUGAACUUGCGGAAGAUGAAAAUGGCACUUUUGACUCAGACAUCCGAGCGAAACCUGCAAGGAAUGGGAUCUCGGAAACCCACGUACCUGUUUCGCUGCACCAACAUGUCUAUGCAGCAAGCAGCGCUUCAGCGAUGCGCUCUGGUGGCGGCAGUCUGUAUUUACGUCGACGCAGGAUCGAACAACAGAAACCAGAGACUGGAUAUGACCCCAGGAGAGCCGCGUUCUACGCUCGUUCGGGCAUUUCCGUGCAAACGAUCAAAGCAGCGUCGUAGACUGCGUUGCAUCAGUGUGAACGACCCGCGGCAGUGACGUGAAAUGCUCAAGCCGUUUGCAUCCUGGUCCCAUACAAAUGCAUGGUGUGCGCGAAACCCCACGUAACAUGAACGUGGAACGCUGAACCGCUUGCAACGUUGCUGGCAUUCGAUAUUUUCCGAACUUUUCCGAAGAUAUGCAACCUGAAGAUUCGAAUUGCAUGAAUGAAGGCUGGCGGAUCCGUAUGUAGUUUCAGGAUUGUGGGUCAUGUCCAGGGAGUGGCUCCCGCGAUUUCUCGGCACUGGAAUUCGAUACGUCACCGUCAUCAAGAUGAUUUUUCGUGGCGCGCUCGAACAAGGGCUCCUAAAAGAAUCGCUAUCAGCAUCGAGGGCACGCGCAAAAGCCUCUGCUCGUCCAUUUCCGUACUCGUAAUAGGUUCAAAUCACGCAUUCUUCAAGGUUUCGAUCUUUGUGUUGCAGGGCGCCUGUUGAGUGCAGCGAUUCGCACCACUCAAUUGACGACGAUGAAGAACAUUCCACGUGAUCCAUUGACGAUGUUUUCAUGCGCUCACGCCGAAACCUCGCUGACCGCCUCUCGGCAUAUCAUCGAUUCUGUUCGCUAGAUCAACCAUCAUCUGUUCCGUGUCAUCGAUGAAAUGGCACUGGGCUGCAGCAUGAUGCUUUUUGCGGGAGUUGCUCCCAGACGUUCAAAUCUCUUCUAUUCCUUUUACACGGAAAUGGGUCUUGGACUAGGAGUUCAGUUACGGUAGCGAUCGUUGCCACUGCAGUGUGCGUCAUCAUGUCGCAUAAAGGGAACGGAGACAA